UUGGCAACAAGAAGAAGGAUGGUUUGAGCAUACCCAAUACACAGGCCCCUUCCCAGUCCUGUGGUAACUCCGAAUAUGCUUUCUUACCACAAAUCCAGUACAAAUUUACUGGGGCUUUCCAACUAGAUGUAGCAGAUAGGUCAAACCAUACAUCCUUUAAAUUGGUAUAAUUUGCAAACGGAUUAGACGGUUCUGAGACAUUUGAAGCUGACCACCAAAUAGUAUCCUUGGUAUCGUCAUUAUAGG